rnacentral:piRNA from 1 species
UUCUUAACAUGCUCCAGUUGGUGAAUGCCU